rnacentral:tRNA from 2 species
CAUUAAGAAGCUAUGGAGCAGCACUAGCCUUUUAAGCUAGAGAGAGAGGCACACCUGUCCUCCUUAAUGA